rnacentral:rRNA from 1 species
CCUACGGGAGGCAGCAGUGGGGAAUAUUGCACAAUGGGGGAAACCCUGAUGCAGCGACGCCGCGUGAGUGAAGAAGUAUUUCGGUACGUAAAGCUCUAUCAGCAGGGAAGAAAAUGACGGUACCUGACUAAGAAGCUCCGGAUAACUACGUGCCAGCAGCCGCGGUAAUACGUAGGGGGCAAGCGUUAUCCGGAUUUACUGGGUGUAAAGGGAGCGUAGACGGCAGCGCAAGUCUGUAGUGAAAUCCCAUGGCUUAACCAUGGAACUGCUUUGGAAACUGUGCAGCUAGAGUGCAGGAGAGGUAAGCGGAAUUCCUAGUGUAGCGGUGAAAUGCGUAGAUAUUAGGAGGAACACCAGUGGCGAAGGCGGCUUACUGGACUGUAACUGACGUUGAGGCUCGAAAGCGUGGGGAGCAAACAGGAUUAGAUACCCCAGUAGUC